AAUCCCACCACCACCCAUCGGCUGCGCCAACGCCAAUCCCAACUAAAUUAACACCAUGUGAUCCCCUCACUCUCCUCUUUGUAAAUCCUACUCCAUUUCCCUCGAACAUGUCCUAAAAUCAUUGAAUCUAAGUUGAAAGUGAGACCUAAAAAUAUCAAAACUCCAGAAUCGGUGGAUUCGUUGACGAUUGAGAUCAAAAUGGACCUUGACCAUGUGUUU
rnacentral:lncRNA from 1 species